rnacentral:misc_RNA from 1 species
GAUGAAGAACGUAGCGAAAUGCGAUAAGUAGUGUGAAUUGCAGAAUUCAGUGAAUCAUCGAAUCUUUGAACGCACAUUGCGCCCCUCGGUAUUCCGGGGGGCAUGCCUGUUCGAGCGUCAUUUAACCCCUCAAGCCUAGCUUGGUAUUGGGUGCUUGUCCCGCCUCUCGCGCGGCGACUCACCUCAAAGUCAUUGGCAGCCCGCAUCUCGCCGGCCGUGAGCGCAGCACAGACGCGCUCUUGGCAACGACGGAUCGGCUCUCCAAAAGCUUAUUUCAACCACUGACCUCGGAUCAGGUAGGGAUACCCGCUGAACUUAAGCAUAUCAAUAAGCGGAGGA